rnacentral:rRNA from 1 species
GGGCCCGCACAAGCGGUGGAGUAUGUGGUUUAAUUCGAUGCAACGCGAAGAACCUUACCAGGGUUUGACAUCCUGCGAAUCUCUUGGAAACGAGAGAGUGCCUUCGGGAACGCAGUGACAGGUGCUGCAUGGCUGUCGUCAGCUCGUGUUGUGAAAUGUUGGGUUAAGUCCCGCAACGAGCGCAACCCUUAUCCUUGUUUGCCAGCACGUAAUGGUGGGAACUCCAGGGAGACUGCCGGUGAUAAACCGGAGGAAGGUGGGGACGACGUCAAGUCAUCAUGGCCCUUACGAGUAGGGCUACACACGUGCUACAAUGGCGCAUACAGAGGGCAGCAAGCUAGCGAUAGUGAG